rfam:Schistosoma curassoni strain Dakar, Senegal genome assembly, scaffold: SCTD_scaffold0003912
GCACUGCUGAAGAGUCCUAAAAUGAGACGAAACAGCCGUCCAGUGC